CAGGAGCCAAUGACUCCACAUUUUCUGGCAUUUAGACCAUGAGGGGGUAAAAAGCCAGGGGUCACUUUGUUUGGUGUCCUUCCUUAAAGUCACUAGCUCAGGCUGUUAUUUUGUUGUUUUUUGCAUCAAGAUUGAAUUGUUCAAGGAUCUGGAUACUGGAGGCAUUGCUAGGGAAACCUGGGAACUGAUACAUAGUGUGAAUUUUCCAGACUGAAAUAGUUGGUCUUCACCUGCCAAGGUCUGCAGUAGUAUUAUUUUAAAAACAGUUGGGAGGAAACAAUCAGUGUUCUCGUCAGUAAUCUGUCACUAACAGCUUGCUACCACACAAACCUGCAAAGGUCUAAUCCUCUUUAGACUGGAUAAAGUUGGAAGAAAAAAGAGGAAUGUUUAUGGGAUGGAGCUGACCUCUGAGAGACUAGUUAAUAGACUGAAUAAGCAGUCUAACAAACCCUAGGAACCUUUCAUUUGAAAUUAAUGAUUACUAAGAGGGAUAAAGAAUGAUCUGAAGUAAAAUUAGAGAAUAAAAAUAAAUGGAUGAAAACAAGGAGAUGGAAGUUGAAACUAAGUCAGGCAAAUCUUUCUCAGAGCAAAAGCUAUUUGACUGAAGAGCAGCUUUGUUAGCUAAAUGUUGGAAUUUGUUUUAAUAAAUGAUGCAAAGCGAAACAAAGCCUUGCAAUACGCAUUUUCAGUACAUGACUACUCAGCUGUUCUUUGAUUUGCCCUUACGUCCCCUUUAGGAAUGCAGACUGUAGUUCUAUGAAAUCAACAUUGUCUUCUACCCUAUAUCCUUAUAUGUUACAGCCUCGUCUCUAAACUGGAGAGAUGUGGGUUUGACAGACGAACCACUUGCUGAAUGAGGAGCUGACUGGCAGGUCACACUCAGAGUUGUGGUCAGUGGCUCAGUGUCCAAGUGGAGGGCAGCGAUGAGUGGUGUCCUCAGGGGUCAGUCUUUAGCACUAUCCUUCUUGGUGACA